rnacentral:rRNA from 1 species
GGGGGGGCAAGCGUUUGUUCGGAAUUACUGGGCGUAAAGGGUUCGUAGGUGGCCCGCUAAGUCAGACGUGAAAUCCCUCAGCUCAACUGAGGAACUGCGUCUGAGACUGGUGAGCUUGAGUGCAGGAGAGGAACGCGGAAUUCCAGGUGUAGCGGUGAAAUGCGUAGAUAUCUGGAGGAACACCGGUGGCGAAGGCGGCGUUCUGGACUGCUACUGACACUGAGGAACGAAAGCCAGGGGAGCAAACGGGGGAUUAGAUACCCCGGUAGUCCUGGCCCUAAACGAUGAAUGCUUGGUGUGGCGGGUAUCGAUCCCCUGCCCGUGCCGUAGUUAACGCGUUAAGCAUUCCGCCUGGGGAGUACGGUCGCAAGGCUG